GAUGAACGCUGGCGGCGUGCAUAACACAUUCAAGUCGAACGGGGCAGCGAUGCCUAGUGGCGGACGGGGGAGAAACGCGCGAGCAACCUGCCUGUGUGAGGGGGACAACAGCCGGAAACAGCUGCUAAUACCGCAUGAAGUAUUAGAAUCGCAUGGUUUGAAUACCAAAGAUUUAUCGCACACAGAUGGGCUCGCGUCCGAUUAACUAGAGGGUGAGGUAACGGCUCACCAUGGCGACGAUCGGUAGCCGGACUGAGAGGUUGAACAGCCACAGUGGAACUGAGAUACGGUCAAGAAUGCUACGGGAGGCAGGAGUGGGGAAUAUUGGGCAAUGGGCGAAAGCCUGACCCAGCGACGCCGCGUGAAGGAAGACGGUCUUCGGAUUGUAAACUUCUUCUAUUAAGGACGAAGAAGUGACGGUACUUAAUGAAUAAGCCACGGCUAACUACGUGCCAGCAGCCGCCGUAAGAC
rnacentral:rRNA from 1 species